UACGGAGGGUGCAAGCAUUAAUCGGAUUUACUGGGCGUAAAGGGCGCGUAGGUGGAAAGGAAAGUCAGAUGUGAAAUACCAGGACUCAAUCUUGGAACUGCAUUUGAAACUUCUUUUCUAGAGGGUAGGCGGAGAAAACGGAAUUCCACAAGUAGCGGUGAAAUGCGUAGAUAUGUGGAAGAACACCUGUGGCGAAGGCGGUUUUCUAGCUUAUACCUGACACUGAGGCGCGAAAGCAAGGGGAGCAAACAGG
rnacentral:misc_RNA from 1 species